rnacentral:rRNA from 1 species
GACGAACGCUGGCGGCGUGCCUAACACAUGCAAGUCGAGCGGGAUCCAUCCGGUAGCAAUACUGGUGAAGAUCUAGCGGCGAACGGGUGAGUAACACGUGAGAAACCUGCCCCAGACUCUGGGAUAACACGAGGAAACUCGUGCUAAUACCGGAUACCUUCUUUUGGUCGCAUGGCCAGCUGAAGAAAGAUUUAUCGGUUUGGGAGGGUCUCGCGGCCUAUCAGCUAGUUGGCGGGGUAACGGCCCACCAAGGCAUCGACGGGUAGCUGGUCUGAGAGGACGAUCAGCCACACUGGGACUGAGACACGGCCCAGACUCCUACGGGAGGCAGCAGUGGGGAAUCUUGCGCAAUGGGCGAAAGCCUGACGCAGCAACACCGCGUGCGGGAUGAAGGCCUUCGGGUUGUAAACCGCUUUCAGCAGGGAAGAAAUUGACGGUACCUGCAGAAGAAGCCCCGGCCAACUACGUGCCAGCCGCCGCAGUAA